CAUUCCUGUGAGAAAUGACACUAAAAGAAGAGGUGUUCAGUUUUUUCCUCCUGCUCCUCACAUAUGACACACUUGUUAUCAUGGCACACCCCUAUUUUUUGUAGUCUUGAUCUUGUAAGGAUCCUGUCAUAUCCUACGUACUAUCCAGCAAAUGAAACUCUAUUUUGGUAUAUUGAGUUUAUUCCACACCACCUCUCCCAAUACCAUGAUUCUUGGUCUCCUUUCCUCCAUUGAUAGCCACUAUGAAUUUUGUAGCUACCACUCUGUGUUAUCCACCCAUUGCCCACAUAUCCAGCUUUAAAUUUAUCUCUAAUGGAGCAUAUCUUCUUCCAGUACCAUGAACAAUCAGUAGGAGGUUCAAAUCAUUACACAAUGAUUCUAUUUUCUAUAUUAAUUCAUCAAAAUUUUAAGGCCAAGAAUCAAUUCAAACAGAAAAUAAGUCAGUAGCCAAACACCUCAAAAUCAAAUCUUUAAACAUAAAAAUGAUUCUAUUUUUUUUAUUAAUCCAUAGUAGUUCGUCAAAAUUUAAGGUCAAGAAUCAAUUCAAACUACACCAUACACCUCAAAAUCAUUGUGUAUCAGGCAUUGAGAAAGGAUUCUACACGGUUGAACAUACAUCCCAACAGUGGAUAGGAAAGGACCAUCAUAUUACAAUUGGAUCAUCUGAAUGCCGAUACUGUUUUUCCGGACACAAAAUAAACCAACAUACAAUAACAGCCACAUCAAUCUCAUCAUUUUUCGAAGAGAAAUCAAAUCCAAAAAAUUUCAGACCAAUUAAAUGAAAAAUAAAUGAAGAACUUUACUUACUGUUGUAGGAGAAACCGCCGAAGAAGAAGCAAAGAACCCCGCAAACUGUUCUGGUAUCAUCCCUUCUUUCAUUAUCAUAUAUGCCUUGAAAGCAUUCAUCAUUUUUUCCUGAGCAUUUAUCAUUUUCUUAUGGUUCUGUUGACAUUGGGACGAACAUGAACCUUCACUUCUUGAAGCACUUGUACCGCUGAAACGAGGUCUUGCUUGUUUAAAAACUUUACUGGGGACAGGUCCUAAUCCCAAGCACCUCACCCUCCCAGAGUGCUCUUCUCCUAGCACCUUGCCGACGGCAUCAUUUCGCGAAAUUUGAGACUCGUCUAUGGUGCUUUGGCUUAAAGCUAACUCAAGUUUUUCCUACACAUACAAAACUCAUUGUCACUAAUAAACCAAUAGGAACGCAUGGAAUUAAAGAAGACAGAACUUAAGAGGCAUGGCUUUUAACUAUGAAGCAGAAUAUACAAAAAUCAGAGUCAUAUUAUUUGUUUCUUGAGAUAAGUUGAGAAUUCACAAAAACUUACGCAUAUUUCUUUUGCUGCUUCAUUAACAUAUACUCCAUCUUGAUUCUUAUGAGUAGCAAGGUAUAUUUGUGCUCGUCCAGGCCUUUGUCCAGUCUGAGCCAUCUAUAAAUAAAAAUCAAAUCAGAAUUAUUUACUACAUAGAAAUAAUUACAUAGCAAGUUAAUUUACUCACCAUUUCAGCCCUUCUCGUAGCAUUGGCUUUGGAGCCGCCUGUGUGUGGUAUAGUCUAUUUCUUUCGAUUUUCAGCAUUUCUUAAUCGCAUUGCCUUAUAAAAAUAUACUUGAAACUCAAUUAGAAAAACAAAUAAUUAUAUAAUUAGAAAGACUAGUAUAAGCAGUUACAUAAGUACCUUUGUUGAAUCUUUAUAUUGGUAAUCAACAAAAGAAAUCCAUUAAUCACGUGGAAUCCCAUUCGGCACACUUUCAAUAAUCUCAGUUUUACUUUUAAGCAGGUCUUCAUGUGUCUUCCACAAGUUAUUUUUAUUUGCAGCCCACUUCUUUCCAAUAGAUUUAUAGACAUGUCCCAUUGCAACUGACUCGGUUGUCCUAAAGAAGAACUUGGGCUUCAAGAAUAAAUCAUUGGUUAGCUUAUACCUUUAUAAUUUGAUAUAGUUGU